GAUGAAGAACGUAGUGAAAUGCGAUAAGUAGUGUGAAUUGCAGAAUUCAGUGAAUCAUCGAAUCUUUGAACGCACAUUGCGCCCCCUGGUAUUCCGGGGGGCAUGCCUGUUCGAGCGUCAUUUCACCACUCAAGCCUCGCUUGGUAUUGGGCAACGCGGUCCGCCGCGUGCCUCAAAUCGACCGGCUGGGUCUUCUGUCCCCUAAGCGUUGUGGAAACUUUCGCUAAAGGGUGUUCGGGAGGCUACGCCGUAAAACAACCCCAUUUCUAAGGUUGACCUCGGAUCAGGUAGGGAUACCCGCUGAACUUAAGCAUAUCAAUAAGCGGAGGA
rnacentral:misc_RNA from 1 species